UGCAUCUGCGGCCUGUGAGGAUGAGAACCUCCGGGGGGGGGGAGGUUCGACUCGAGCGAAGCGAGAGAACGUUGCGUCAGCAACGGCCCGCAGGGCGAGCCACA
rnacentral:sRNA from 1 species